rnacentral:rRNA from 1 species
UACGUAGGGGGCAAGCGUUGUCCGGAUUUAUUGGGCGUAAAGAGCGUGUAGGCGGCCUGACAGGUCUGCUGUGAAAACUCGAGGCUCAACCUCGAGAUGUCGGCGGAAACCGUCUGGCUAGAGUCCGGAAGAGGAGAGUGGAAUUCCUGGUGUAGCGGUGAAAUGCGCAGAUAUCAGGAAGAACACCUAUGGCGAAGGCAGCUCUCUGGGACGGUACUGACGCUGAGACGCGAAGGCGUGGGAGCGAACGGG